rnacentral:rRNA from 1 species
CGGGUAGCGGAACACGUACAGAACCUUCCUUUGAGCGGGGGAUAGCCCGGAGAAAUCCGGAUUAAUACCCCAUAGUAUUAUUGUCUGGCAUCAGAUGGUAAUUAAAGAUUUAUCACUUAAAGAUGGCUGUGCGGCUGAUUAGGUAGUUGGCGGGGUAAUAGCCCACCAAGCCUUCGAUCAGUAACUGGUGUGAGAGCACGACCAGUCACACGGGCACUGAGACACGGGCCCG